GUGAGGAAUAUUGGACAAUGGGCGCAAGCCUGAUCCAGCCAUGCCGCGUGCAGGAAGACGCAUCUAUGGUGUGUAAACUGCUUUUGUACGGGAAGAAACACUCCCUCGUGAGGGAGCUUGACGGUACCGUAAGAAUAAGGAUCGGCUAACUCCGUGCCAGCAGCCGCGGUAAUACGGAGGAUCCAAGCGUUAUCCGGAAUCAUUGGGUUUAAAGGGUCCGUAGGCGGUUUAAUAAGUCAGUGGUGAAAGCCCAUCGCUCAACGAUGGAACGGCCAUUGAUACUGUUAGACUUGAAUUACAAGGAAGUAACUAGAAUAUGUAGUGUAGCGGUGAAAUGCUUAGAUAUUACACAGAACACCGAUUGCGAAGGCAGCUUACUAAUCCAUUAUUGACGCUGAGGCACGAAAGCGUGGGGAUCAAACAGGAUUAGAAACCCGAGUAGUCC
rnacentral:rRNA from 1 species